AUUGAACGCUGGCGGCAUGCUUUACACAUGCGAGUCGAACGGCAGCGCGGGCUUCGGCCUGGCGGCGAGUGGCGAACGGGUGAGUAAUACAUCGGAACGUGCCCAGUAGUGGGGGAUAGCUCGGCGAAAGCCGGAUUAAUACCGCAUACGACCUGAGGGUGAAAGCGGGGGAUCUUCGGACCUCGCGCUAUUGGAGCGGCCGAUGGCAGAUUAGCUAGUUGGUGGGGUAAAGGCCUACCAAGGCGACGAUCUGUAGCUGGUCUGAGAGGACGACCAGCCACACUGGGACUGAGACACGGCCCAGACUCCUACGGGAGGCAGCAGUGGGGAAUUUUGGACAAUGGGCGAAAGCCUGAUCCAGCAAUGCCGCGUGUGUGAUGAAGGCCUUCGGGCUGUAAAGCACUUUUGGCGGGAACGAAAAGGACUGUGCCAAUACCACGGUUCGAUGACGGUACCCGCAGAAUAAGCACCGGCUAACUACGUG
rnacentral:rRNA from 1 species